rnacentral:rRNA from 1 species
GAUGAACGCUGGCGGCGUGCUUAACACAUGCAAGUCGAGCGAAGCACUUUUGCGGAUUUCUUCGGAUUGAAGCAACUGUGACUGAGCGGCGGACGGGUGAGUAACGCGUGGGUAACCUGCCUCAUACAGGGGGAUAACAGUUGGAAACGGCUGCUAAUACCGCAUAAGCGCACAGUACCGCAUGGUACGGUGUGAAAAACUCCGGUGGUAUGAGAUGGACCCGCGUCUGACUAGCUAGUUGGUGGGGUAACGGCCUACCAAGGCGACGAUCAGUAGCCGACCUGAGAGGGUGACCGGCCACAUUGGGACUGAGACACGGCCCAAACUCCUACGGGAGGCAGCAGUGGGGAAUAUUGCACAAUGGGGGAAACCCUGAUGCAGCGACGCCGCGUGAGCGAUGAAGUAUUUCGGUAUGUAAAGCUCUAUCAGCAGGGAAGAAAAUGACGGUACCUGACUAAGAAGCCCCGGCUAACUACGUGCCAGCAGCCGCGGUAAUACGUAGGGGGCAAGCGUUAUCCGGAUUUACUGGGUGUAAAGGGAGCGUAGACGGCAUGGCAAGCCAGAUGUGAAAGCCCGGGGCUCAACCCCGGGACUGCAUUUGGAACUGUCAGGCUAGAGUGUCGGAGAGGAAAGCGGAAUUCCUAGUGUAGCGGUGAAAUGCGUAGAUAUUAGGAGGAACACCAGUGGCGAAGGCGGCUUUCUGGACGAUGACUGACGUUGAGGCUCGAAAGCGUGNGGAGCAAACAGG